UACAUGCAUACACACGCACACACACACACACACAUACACAUUGACAGAGAUCCAAGGACUCAAUGACAUAGAGGCAGCAGCUCUCAUCUCUUAAGGAUGAAAUUACGGGCAAUUUAUUUCAUCAGUGUGCUUUUCUGUCAUCUUCAAAAUUCCUGUGGUUAGUUGUUCCUCUUGUAUUAAGGCAGAAACACCCUUGAACAGCCUUCUAUUGUGUUUUUACUCUGGUGUUACAGCCACUCGGAAGGAGAGCUUGGCACACACCCCAUCAAGGUGACUACACAGAGGGUGUCUCUCCCAUCACAUUUCCUGAUGCGACAGUGACGUUGCAGAUGUCAGUGGGGGCAGGUCCUCUGACCCGCUAAUGGGCUGCGUCCGAUUCUGCAGGGCUUGCUUGCCUUUCAAGGGUCACUCUGGUGUUUUCUCAGCUGCUGGAGCCUGACCCUCUCUGACAAUUAUUACUUCACGUCAAAAGACUGCCGGGCGAGCUGUCUGGAUUUGCCAGGAGAGACGGAGCUGCCCCCAUCAAACUCUGGGCUGCGAGGCUCAGGCAGAGGGUGGAAGGUUCUGGAGUCUUCUGUGGAAAGACACCUCGGCCCCGCUCCUGUGCCCCACCACCCCUGCCCUCCCUAGUAACCCCUCACCAGCCUUCAGCUUCCCUCCGAGCUAGAGCAGAGACCUUAGGCGGUGGCACCAUCAUGGGGCCGAGGUCUGUGCUGUGAGAAAGUGACAAGAAAGAUGGCCCUGGGCUGCUGGCUGACCAUCUUCAGGAUGGAUGAUCUGAGUCUCCUGGAAUUUGUUCCAAGAGAAAGUGGAGAGGGCUUCUCUCUCCCUGUAAUAACGACCCACUUCAAUCCCCAGGUUUUCUGCAGGUGUAACGCAGGAGGGAGCAAGGCCCAUGUUCACAGCCUCCAUCAUCUCUCACUGGCUCUUGUUUACAAAGUGCCAACCCAGGCUGCAGGCUGCUCUGGGCCUUCCUGGAAGGGGUCAUUCAUCUGGGAGGAAAGUAGGGGUCCCUGAGAAUGAUGAAGGGUGAUGGAGGGCAGCCACCAGGGCCUCCCACCUCUGUGUCUCCCAGAAGAAGGUCACAGGAUGGCAGGGGCCAGCCUGGGUCCAGGAAGCACCUCCUCAGGCAGAAGCUGGUGGAACUUUGGGUUCUGACUCCCAAGUUCAAUGGCACCGGCGACAUGUAGCUCUAACCUGUGACUUCUCCUGCCCCUCUCUGUGUGUGCCCAUGGGGGUGGCCUGAGGAAACGCCACUGCUUCCUGGCAGUACUGAGAGCUGCCCUCUGUUUACAUGGAUGAAUCUAGGAGAAAGAUUGCUAAUCACAACGGUGGCUAAUGCUUUGGGAAGGCUUACCUUGUGCCGGAAAGAAGUGCUUGUGAUGGAUUCUUUCAUUUUUAGCAGUCUUUCAAUGCGUGUCCUGUGUGCCGGCAAGGUUCUAGGCACUGCAAUGCAGCAGUGGAUGACAGAGAGAAAAUCCCACGGAUGCACAGCAUGUGGUCUGUACACACGAUGGGACAGUAUGCGGCCUUAGAGGAAGGGAAUUCGGCCACGUGCUACAACAUAGAUGAACCUUGAGGACGUUGUGAAGGAAAUAAGCCAGAUACAAAAGGACAAAUACUGCAGGAUUCUACUUACAUGAGAGCCAUAAAAUGGAAUUUUUAAGAUGUUGUUGUUGUUGAGGAAGAGCCCACGGAAUGAUGGUGUUGCUCCAGUGUCCGCUUUGCCCUUGGCAGCCCCAGGGCCCUGUCCGGAGCUCUGAACCCAGUGGGCGCUGAGUGAAUGGGGGAGGAGACUCAGAGGAUUCAACAGCUACACGGAGAAUGAAAUGCAUUACCAGGGGGGUGGAUGCUCGUGGGACAUUCCAUGGAACUCAUCCCACCGGCCGAGCUUGAAAGAUGUGGAGAGAUCAGGCUGGAAAAAAAUAAGGAAGGUGAGAUGGAGGAGAAAACCGCCUGAGGAUAAUGCAAAGGGCAUCUGGCAGGACCAGGGGCGUCUCUCUGUCUCCCUGUGUCUAACUUCCUUGGAGUCUUUGUCGUCUUGGCUUCCUGCCCUCCCCGUGCUCCUGCUUGCCUGCUGAGUUGUGAGAAUCAAAGAUCAUCACACAGACGGAGAAAACAGCGAUGCGAGCAGGUGCUGGUGUUGGUGGUUGACCGGUCCCAGGGCCAGUGGAUUCUAUCCUCCAUCCCCUACGGACUCAUCCUAUCCUCACAUCCACCGCCUGCCUCUCCGCAGCCCUGUCUCCUCCUAAAGACUGUCUGCAGGGUGCGACGAGCACAGGUGACUCACGGUCCAUCCACUGGUGCCCGAUGUCAGCUG